GGACCCAUCACUUUUAUUCCAGAACUUGAUCACAAGGCCACACAGAACUGAUAGAGGCUGAAGAAUGCAGUCUAGACAUGGGACUUGGGAAGAAGAGGAGAACGCAGAGAUUGUUGAGUACUAGCAGCUUGAGUAACUGGCUUAAAUUUCAUUAGCCUGAAUGGAAGGAAGAUAAAGUGGCUGUUGAGUUAACAGAUGGACAAGUUGGAAAGAAAGGACGUAUUGCUGAUCUCAUCUUCUGCUCAGGUAUGUUGUUAAUUGCGGAGACAACCUGAUCUUUGUUGAGAACCAGGUCUUUCAACCUGGGUACAC
rnacentral:lncRNA from 1 species